GCCUAACACAUUCAAGUCGAACGAACUGUAGAAAUACAGUGAGUGGCGGACGGGUGAGUAACGCGUAAGCAACCUGCCUUUGUGUGUGGAAUAACAACCGGAAACAGUUGCUAAUACCGCAUAACGCACAGAAAUCGCAUGUUUUUUGUGCCAAAGAUUUAUCGCACAAAGAUGGGCUUGCGUCCGAUUAGAUAGUUGCGGGGUAACGGCCACCAAGUCAACGAUCGGUAGCCGGACUGAGAGGUUGAACGGCCACAUUGGAACUGAGAUACGGUCCAGACUCCUACGGGAGGCAGCAGUGGGGAAUAUUGGGCAAUGGACGAAAGUCUGACCCAAGCGACGCCGCGUGAGGGAAGAAGGUCUUCGGAUUGUAAACCUUAGUCAACAGGGACGAAGCAAGUGACGGUACCUGUGGAGGAAGCCACGGCUAACUACGUGCCAGCAGCAGC
rnacentral:rRNA from 1 species